rnacentral:rRNA from 1 species
GUGCCAGCCGCCGCGGUAAUACCGGUAGCCCGAGUGAUGGCCGAUAUUAUUGGGCCUAAAGCGUCCGUAGCUGGCCGAACAAGUCCGUCGGGAAAUCCGCCCGCUCAACGGGCGGCCGUCCGGCGGAACCUGUGUGGCUUGGGACCGGGAGGCCUGAGGGGUACGAUCGGGGUAGGAGUGAAAUCCUGUAAUCCCGCACGGACCACCGAUGGCGAAAGCACUUCGAGAAAACGGAUCCGACAGUGAGGGACGAAAGCUAAGAUCGCGAACCGGAUUAGAUACCCCAGUAGUCC